rnacentral:rRNA from 1 species
GGCAUCAGGAUGAACGCUGGCGGCGUGCUUAACACAUGCAAGUCGGAACGAUUGACCCGGUGCUUGCAUCGGUGAUUAGUGGCGAACGGGUGAGUAACACGUGAGUAACCUGCCCUUAACUCUGGGAUAAGCCUGGGAAACUGGGUCUAAUACCGGAUAUGACUCCUCAUCGCAUGGUGGGGGGUGGAAAGCUUUUUUGUGGUUUUGGAUGGACUCGCGGCCUAUCAGCUUGUUGGUGAGGUAAUGGCUUACCAAGGCGACGACGGGUAGCCGGCCUGAGAGGGUGACCGGCCACACUGGGACUGAGACACGGCCCAGACUCCUACGGGAGGCAGCAGUGGGGAAUAUUGCACAAUGGGCGGAAGCCUGAUGCAGCGACGCCGCGUGAGGGAUGACGGCCUUCGGGUUGUAAACCUCUUUCAGUAGGGAAGAAGCGUAAGUGACGGUACCUGCAGAAGAAGCGCCGGCUAACUACGUGCCAGCAGCCGCGGUAAUACGUAGGGCGCAAGCGUUAUCCGGAAUUAUUGGGCGUAAAGAGCUCGUAGGCGGUUUGUCGCGUCUGCCGUGAAAGUCCGGGGCUCAACUCCGGAUCUGCGGUGGGUACGGGCAGACUAGAGUGAUGUAGGGGAGACUGGAAUUCCUGGUGUAGCGGUGAAAUGCGCAGAUAUCAGGAGGAACACCGAUGGCGAAGGCAGGUCUCUGGGCAUUAACUGACGCUGAGGAGCGAAAGCAUGGGGAGCGAACAGGAUUAGAUACCCUGGUAGUCCAUGCCGUAAACGUGUGGGCACUAGGUGUGGGGGACAUUCCACGUUUUCCGCGCCGUAGCUAACGCAUUAAGUGCCCCGCCUGGGGAGUACGGCC